CGCGUAGGCUGUGCUGCAAGUCAGGCGUGAAAGGCCCGGGCUCAACCUGGGAACUGCGCAUGAUACUGCGGCGCUUGAAGGCGGGAGAGGAUGGCGGAAUUCCCAGUGUAGAGGUGAAAUUCGUAGAUAUUGGGAAGAACACCGGUGGCGAAGGCGGCCAUCUGGCCCGCAAUUGACGCUGAGGCGCGAAAGCGUGGGGAGCAAACAGGAUUAGAUACCCUGGUAGUCCACGCCGUAAACGAUGAGUGCUAGACGCCGGGGAGCUUGCUCUUCGGUGUCGCCGCUAACGCAUUAAGCACUCCGCCUGGGGAGUACGGUCGCAAGAUUAAA
rnacentral:rRNA from 1 species